UACGUAGGGUGCGAGCGUUAAUCGGAAUUACUGGGCGUAAAGCGUGCGCAGGCGGCGGCUCAAGUCAGGUGUGAAAUCCCCGGGCUUAACCUGGGAAUUGCGCUUGAAACUAGGCUGCUUGAGUGUGGCAGAGGGGGGUGGAAUUCCACGUGUAGCAGUGAAAUGCGUAGAGAUGUGGAGGAACACCGAUGGCGAAGGCAGCCCCCCUGGGUCAACACUGACGCUCAUGCACGAAAGCGUGGGGAGCAAACAGG
rnacentral:rRNA from 1 species